rnacentral:tRNA from 1 species
GUCCUCUUAGUUAAAUGGAUAUAACGAGCCCCUCCUAAGGGCUAAUUGCAAGUUCGAUUCCUGCAGGGGACACCA